GCUGGAGGCCAUUAUAUUAAGCAAAUUAAUGCAGAAACAGAAAAUAAAAUACCACAUGUUCUCACUUAUAAGUGGGAAGUAAACAGUGGGUACACAUGGACACAAAGAUGGAAAAAGUAGACACUGGGGAAUACUAGAGGGAGCAGGGUAAGAUGGGGGCAAGGGUUGAAAAACUAAUUAUUGAGUAUUACACUCACUACCAGGCUGACAGGAUCAACCAUACCCUAAACCUCAGCCUCAUACAAUAUACUUAUGUAGCAAACCUGCACAUGUACCCUAUGAAUCUAAAAUAAAAGGUGAAAUUAUAUUUUUAAAAAUUUAAAAUAAAAGCAUACCUCUGCAGCAGUAGCUGGGGUAACACAGCCUUUCCCCACCAGUAAAAAAAAAAAAAAAAAAAAAAAAUUAAAAGUAAGAAUAAAAGUAAAUAGAUAAAUUUUGAGUCUGUCUUAGACACAUUUUAAGGUACCACUCUCUCUUUAUAAUGGCUUUUUAGUUGAAUGUGUGCAAGUAAGUGUAUGCAGGGCACAUGUGUAUGUGCUUAUAUAUAUUCAGAACUUAGCUGUAAUACAACUCUGUCUUUAAUAAGCCACUGAUUGCCUCUGAACCAAUUUUCUCAGUUGUAAAUUGAAAUAGUAGAAUUAAGUGAUCUCAAAUAUCUGUUCUAGUUUUACAAUCUAUAUUUCUAUGAUACAAAGGUUGCAUUUUGAAGUAAUGUCUGUCUUUUAUCUUUUAUAUCUCUUUCAUAUUUCCCAUGCCAAGAUAUUUUUCACAAAGUCCUGGGGGAAAAAAAAUUCAGAAACAAAUAGAAGUGGUUCGUUAUUGCCAUAAAAUAAAGCUCAGCUCUUUUGAACGUGCAUGAGACCCCAGGUGCCCUGGAGUCUGUCUGCCUUACCAGGUUCACCCCUUACUGCUCCUUGCCACAUAAUUUCUGCUGUGGAAACAACAUAUUGAUUAAAGCUCUAUUCCUCUAUCCAUGCUUUUUACUGCAUUUCUUUGUUAACCUAACUCCUCUUCUUCCUUUCAAAUCAGCCCAGAUGUCUUCUCUUUCAAGUUUUCUUUAAACUCUAGGACAGACUUGGCAUUUUGUUUCAGAGCUUAUGCUAUCGUAGCACUUACUUAAUAUUAUGUUGAAACCACCUGCUUCUGGAAACUCCCUGAAGACAAGACUUGCUGUCUUUUACCUUUAUAGCCUCAAAAUGAAUAUAUGUUUAAUUUCUAAAAGAAGAUUACAUCUGAUUUUAUCCUCAUUAGGUAGUGUUUUUAUUUUUGACUUUCAAUAUGUUCUGCAUCAAUACAAACUUUAUUGUUUUAUUCAUAUUGUAUUAAUUAUUUUAACACUGAGUUAUCAGAUUACUUCUAACAGUAGGACAUUGGCAUUUUACUAAUCUCUUAAAUAUGACAUUUUAUAUGAUGGUCACUAUUUCUUCUGAAAAACUCAUAUAUAUUCAAUUUUAUAAUUAGUUUAUAUUAAUGAAACAGGAAAAAAGAUUCAAACUUUUUUUCGGAAAUUUACUAUGCUGAAAAAAUUAUACUAACAUCUGAAAAUUGUGCCAUUUUGCAUGAGAUGAAUAACAAUUUUAAGUAUUCUUUAGUAAUUAUUCUAUUAAUAAUUGAAUUAAUAAUCAAAAUAGUAGCUAUAAUUUAUUAAGUACUUAUUUUACUCCAGAUGCUCUUCUGAAAGUUUUAAACAUAACUCAGGUGAUACCUACAACAAUGCUAUAAUGCUAACAUUGUCUUUAUUCUAUAAAUUCACUUUACAGAAAAUUAAAUAUGUCUUAAACAUUAAUUUAGUGCCUAGUUGUCCACGUAUUUUUCAUUUGAACCCAGUAUACCUAUUAAAGUGGAUUAAUUUAACUUAAUCAACUGAAAGAUAAUAAUAGUAUUAGAUACUGUAUAUAUAUAUAUACAUAAAGAGUAUCUUGGUAGGUACUGUGGAGGGAAGAUGAGGAAUUAAAGCAUACAUCUUAACCUUUAGGGGUUUGCUAUCUUACAGAGGAAACAGCGUAUAAAAAUCUGCUGUUUCAUGAGUUCUUCAUAUUUUUUUUUACUGCUCAUACAUUUAAGCAAUGUCUAAGUCAUUGUUUUUUGGUACAUUUUCAAGAAUAAACAUAAUAAAAAAUGAAAUUAUAAUUAAUUCAUACAGCAAGGUUUGCUUGUAGAAAAUAAUGUAUUUUUUUCCCAACACUUUGAAAAUGCUAGGAAUGGCUUCUUUCGCCAUGUCCAAGCUUUUUAGCAUAAAUGCAGCCCCAUUUGUCUAUUUACGUUUGUCACCUAUGCUUUGGGGUCCUACACAACAAAUCAUUGCCGAGGCCAAUGCUGUGAAACUUCUCCCCUUUGUUUUCUUCCAGUAUUUUUACAAUGUCAGGUCUUAGAUUUGAGUAUUUAAUUCAUUUGGAGUUAUUUGUACAUGGCGUGUGAACCCCAAAUAUCUGAGACAGGUCUCAGUUGAUUUAGAAAAUUUAUUUUGCAAAGAUUGAGGACACUUACCCGUGACACAGCCUCAGAAGGUACUGACAACAUGUGCCCAAGGUGAUCAGAGCACAGCUUGGUUUUAUACAUUUUAGACAGACAUGAGACAUCAAUCGACAUAUAAAAGACGAACACUGGUUCAGUCUGAAAAGGUGGGUCAACUCGAAUCAAAGGCAGGGCAACUUGAAGUAGGGAGGGGGCUUCCAGGUCAUGGGAAGAAAAGUGACAAAUGGGUGGUUGCGUUCUUUUGAGUUUCUGAUUAGCCUCUCCAAAGGAGUCAAUCAGAUGUGCCUUUAUCGCUGAGAGCAGAGGGGUGACUUUAAAUAGAAUAGGAAACAGGUUUGCCCUCAGCUUGGCUUUUCCCUUUAGCUUAGUGAUGGGGCCCCAAGAUUUAUUUUCCUUUCACAGGUGUGUGACAAGGGUCCAGUUCCAUUUUUCUGCAUGAGGAUAACAACACAGCGAAACUGCAAUCUACAGAAUCAGAGAAAAUAUUUGUAACCAAUAGGUCUAAUAAAAUGGUAAUAUCCUAAAUAAGCAAGAAACUCAAAAUUCUCAACAGCAGAAAAAGAAAAAAAGACCUGGGCAAAGAACCUGAAUAGACAUAUCUCUAAAGAAGAUAUACGAAUGACCAACAGUCAAAUGAAAAUAUGUCUCAUCACGGAAAUGCAAAUUAAAACCAUAGAUACCACCUUGCCCGUUAGAACAGCUAUUUUCUUUCUCUUUUUAAACAUUUUGUUAUUUUACUUUGAGAUCUGGGAUGCACGUGUAGAAUGUGUGGUGGUUUGCUGCACCUAUUGACCCAUCACCUAGGUUUCCUCCCCUUGCCCCCCCACCCCUCAGCAGGCCCCAGUGUAUGUUAAAACAGCUAUUUUCAAAAAGACAAAAUAUAACCACAAAUGUUGGCAAGGAUAUAGAGACAAGGAAACCCUGUUCACUGUUGGUGGGAAUAUAAAUUAACACAACCACUAAGUAAAACAACGUGGAGGCUCCUCAAGAGACUAAAACGUAGAUCUACCAUAUGAUCCAGCAAUCCCACUGCUGGGUAUAUAUCCAAAGGAAAUGAAAACAACAUAUUGAGGAGAUAGUUGCACUCUCAUGUUUAUCGUAGCACUAGUCACAAUGCGCAAGUUAUGGUAUCAACCUAAGCUUCCUUUAACAAAUGAAUGGAUAGAGAAAAUGUGGCAUAUCUACAUAAUGUAAUUCCAGCCAGCCUUUAAAAAGAAGAAAAUCUUGUCCUUUCAAAAAUAGGUGAACCUGGAGGACAAUAUGCUAAGUAAAAUAAGCCAGGCACAGAAAAGCAAAUAUCACAAGUUCUCAAUUACAUGUAGAAUCUAAAACAAUCAAACUCAUAGAAGCGAAAAUUUAAUGGUGGUUAUCAGAGACAAGGAGUUGGGGAAAUGGUCAAAGGAUAUGAAGCUGCCAGAAGACAGGAAGAAUAAAUGUUAAGUAUUUAAGUUGAUGGAUAUGUUAAUUAGCUUGAUUUAAUCACUCCACACUCUGUAUAUACAUGAUAACAUCACUUUGUAUCCCAUAAUUAUAUAAUUGAUCAAAAAACAAAAUUAAAUAAAAAUCAUAAAAUACUGGUAAUAAACAUUUGUUAAGAUUAAUACUGAAUAACAAUAUUUUUUACUCAUCUAGCCACUUCAUUUAUAAAUAAAAAUUAUAAGAUUAAUAAUGUUGAUAAAUAUUGAAGGUGAACCUCAGCUGCACUUCCUCAAGGACUGUCAAAAGCAUAAGGAUUAUUGUUAAAAGAAGAGUGUUUUUUGGACAUGCACUUUGAUAGUCCCAGUUAUUAUAGUACAAAUCAUUCAGUUUAAUUGAUUUAAACUGAACCAUCUGCUGUCUAAUUGGCUCACAGCCAGUGGGAUUUGUGUUAGUAAAUGAGUAUCAGAGAUAGAAAGAAUACUAAUGUGAAGUUUAUGUUUCACUAAGAAUGUCUCCUUGUGAAUCGCUUGAAACCAGAAGGUGAAGGUUGCAGUGAGCCAAGAUUGUGCCACUGCACUCCAGCCUGGGCAACAAGAGCGAAAUUCCGACUCAAAAAGAAAAAGAAAAAAAAAAAAAGAAUGUCUCCUUAUUCAUUGACAAAGAUUAAACAUAUUAAAAUGUAUGCAAAUCAAAGAGCCUACUUUUAAGACUUCUCCUGAACAAGAUAGAAUAAGUAGGAUUAGAUAUAUCUUCCUGCCCAAAACAUUUUUGAAAUGCACAAAAUAAAUGAAACAAAGGUUCUGAAGACAUUGGAUAUCAGACCAUGACAGAGAGCAAUAACAGAGAUAGUAAAUAAACAUUGUAAGCUCUCUGAUUGUCCCAGUAUACUUUGUGAAGAUGUUUCCAGGUGGCACAGAAAGAGGAAAACCAGAUAGAUCCUAUGGCUUGAAGAGACAUAGUAGGGAAAGAAGGGAAGACACAGUUGACAGAGUUUGCAAUGUAGAGCACCAGAAAGGAGAGAGUUGCCCAGAAAGAGAAUUCUGGAGAUCUGGAAGAGUUCUUAAGUCAUCAGCUGAAUACUAAUUAGCCCAUGAACAUGGGAAAACAACUUGAGACCAAAGAAAGAAAUGUAUGAAAAGACAGAGGUAGCAUCUUUUGCACUUACACAGGACCGGAAAAAUAAAUGCUCAUUUCCACUAACAAGAGUGGAAAUCCUAAUAAUUCACAGAGUAUCGGGUAGAGUAUAUAAAAAAUUUGUGCCUCAAUUGUGGAGCAAAAUUAGCCAUAGGCCAGGUUCUGCUGUGGUCCUGCCUAACAAAAUUUAAAGGCAAUAAGCAGAUAUGAACUGCAAGAAAUGUUAGAGGAAUUCCCACAGGUAGAAGGAAUAUAAUCCAGAUGGAAAUAAAAAUUUACAGAAAAGGUUGAUUUUUUUCCUUAUUAUAGGUCACCUUUUUCUGCUUCUUUUUUAUGCCUUGGGAUUUUACAUUAGAUGUAGAAUUGAAAAUUCAACUUUGUUGGGCUCUUGGCAAUUUUUUUGUUCAUUUUACAAAUACUCUUGAGCUUUUUUCUGGAAUAUGAUUAAUUUAUUGACAACAGUUUAAUUCUUUCAGGUUUUUCCUUUAGCAUAUGCUAAAAGCCCAUACAGAGGAUCAAUAGCAUAAAAUACCUCCUAAGAACAUUUCUGCUUCGAUGUUUGAAAUGAUGGCCAAUUUAUCAAUAUUGUGAUGAUAAUCUCAUAGAAUAUUUUACCAAAUGUCUAUUUGAGAUUAUCUGAUGUCAUCCAACAGCCAUGGUGGCUUUCUUAGAUUAUGUCCUAUAGACCUUGCAACCUGACAAUUCCCAUCUGUUCUUCACAGAAUUGGAAAGCAAAUUUUGUGCACCUGUGACAGAAUUCUUGAUAUUCUUCAUAGAUUUUUGUCAUUCUGUUCAAGGAGAGAUUCUUGCAUAAAAACUUUAAUCAUUAAUAUUGAAAUAUAAAAUUUAAAAAUAUAUGAAAUAAAAAUUUGGUACUGGAUUAUCCAAAAUAUUUAUUUUUGGCAUGGGUACUUCUCAAAUUACAGAAUUAUAACCCUCAGAUUUUCUUCACCAGCAAGGAUAUUGUAAAACAACAAAAGAGAAACUUAAUAUUUUCAAUAAGUUACCAGGAAGCAUGGUGUCCUCAGUUCCUAGUGUUCUUGGGAGAAAGAAUUUGGCCAAGAGACAAUUUAACAAAGAGAGCAGAGAGUUUUUGAGGAAAACACACUCCAAGAGAGGAGUGAGCUUACUAGGCUGGGAGCAACAGCAGUAGCAGCAAUGGUUAAGUGGUAUCACAGAUUAUUUAAAGUGGCAGAGUGGGCUGCUUGGAGGAGAAUGGGCCAGCGACCCUGAAAGUUCUAUGUUGUUGUUUUUUAUCAUGUCAUACACUUUCUUUAAGUUUGCACCUCUGUCUCAAAUCUCUGCUUUUGUCUGUGUCUGAUUUCCCACUUCUGCCUUAAGUCCCUGCCUUUUCCCCCACCAAGUUCCCACCGCAGGUUUGUAGGAUUCUCCCUUACUGUCAGUUGAUACACAAGUGCAGGCCCAGUGAUCUAUACAAAUCUUUCCUAAUGGUAGUGCGGUUCAUUACUACCACCCCAGGAAGGUGUAUAAACAGCAGUUAAAUAUGUAGUUAUUGUGCCUUUGUAUCUCUUAGCAAUUUCCCCUUUGCCUUUUUCCCCUCCUUAUCAGCAUAUAGCUAACUAUAGUUUCACAGUUCAAUCACGGAAUGAGUGAUUACUGGGCAUUUUAAGGGGCAUUUUGGAGAGUUCUUUCUUGCAUAGGUAUUUUCCUUCCUCUCUACUCAUAUCUAGCAUGCAUAUUUUGGAUGGUCUCUGGAGUGUGAGAUUUCAUAGUGCUUACAUUUUUAGGGGCUACCCUUCUUGCUCAUGUCUAACUAUCCACCUACUCUAACAAAUACAUAUUACACUAUAGGUGAGAUGGCUAGAUUAUUGGAAGAUAACCUUGAUUAAUUUACCCAAGACUAAAAUUAUUCUGAGGCAAGGAGGAUAAUCCCUGACUACUGAUCCAAGUGGUAGGCUGUGAUAGGCAAUGACUAUGUCAUGUUGCUGAGUUUAUACCUCUAGAGCAUAGCCUAAUGCUUUUAUAGACAUUUACAAAACAUUUAUGAUAUUUUAGGAAGAAUACUUCUGAACUUUUAUGUGUGCCAUGUUGUUGAUCUUACAUACCUAUGAUAUGUCCUAAUUUAUAUAUAAAAACAAAAUUUUAUGAUAUUCUAGAAUAAAUAAAUAUUCUUAUGGGUUUUCUCCAAUUACUCUGUUCUCCAAUUAUAUUCUGCUCAUUGGAAUAAUUUGAAAAUAAUUCUAGACUCAUAACUCAUACAUACUGUAAGGACUAUGGGAUAUCUAGAUUGGUUAUAAUCUGCUAAUUUGUUUAAUAUUUAGAGAUCUUCUAAAAAUAAUUCUUUCAUAGUUUGUUUCUUCUGAAACUUCAGUGUCCAAAGUAGGUUACCCAAAAAAGUUACAUGAUUUCUAUCACAGAGAAUAAAGAAAUUUCCUCUGAUAAUGUUCACAAAUUAAUAGUUUAUAGGAAAGAGACUGAAAGAGACUAAGGAUUGUUAAAAAUGUUCAAGACUGAGUGUUUUCUGUUAAUCAAGGCAAAUAAAGUUCAGUUACCUAAAGGAUUUAGUAUUUAUAUUAAGCCUCAAGAUUAACUUUUUCUAUAUCUUUCUUUCCUUCUUGCACAAUUCAAAAAUUUUAUUUCAUCUGGAGAGCCAUAUAUUAAUUAUCAUUUUUAGUCAGUUUAUAAUCUUCUAAAUCUCUUCGAAAUAUACAGCCACAUUUGGAGGUUUUGUAAGUUGACAAUUUUUCUUUCCAAGUUAGAUUUCCUGUUUUCCUUCUUUUGGGCCUGUGAACAUUUAGAAAUAGAGAGAGCAAGGAUCCUUUUAAACUGCUCUUGACUGUACUACAGGCUACUCUUUGAAAAUGUUCUAAAAUAUAUAUAUAUAUAUAUAUAUAUAUAUAUAUAUAUAUAUAUAAAGUUUUCUUAAGUAAUUCUAAAAUGCAUUACAUUGAAGAUUUUUAAUUUUUUUUUUUUUUGUAUUUCAAGGUCACCUUUGAAUUACAUACAGCUAGGUUGCUUAAAUCAUUUUCUGGUCCCUCCCACUCUAUUGUUUAUAACAAUGUUUUUUUCCAGAAAAGGGGUUAACAAUUAAGUAAACUCAUUGGCAUAGAUAUACUUGUCCAGAAGGUUUUUUAAAAAUCCAUAAAUCAUAGUACUUAACAUGGCUUUAGGCUGGGAUUUAAAAGCAAUAUGAAAUUUCACGUUCUCACUAAGAUGGUAUAAAAAGGAUUAGAUUUACCACCCUGCUGGGGAAACAAAACAAAACAAAAAUAAAAAAUAAGAAAAAAAUGUCUUUCAGACAUUGACUUUUAAAAGGCAUCUCUCAAGGCUGAUUUUUCACAGAAGUGAAGCAGGUGAGACUAAUCUUGUAACAGCUCUGGUUUGCUUCCUACACAAAAUUUUAAAAACACGUGAACAGAGAGGUACACCCAAAGCCCCUAAGCGAACUCAUGGAAGUGAAGAAUAUUAAUGGAGAAAAGGAAAAGUAGAGGCAGCUGGAAGUUGUAGAGGCAGAGAUCUGGAAAAGACAGCUAUGUCAUUUCUUAGGUGUAGUAGUAAUUGAUUUAUAAAUUUAGGAGCUCCAGUGUUAGAUGCGUAUAUAUUUAAGAUUGUGAUACUUUCCUAUUGGACAAGACCUUUUAUUGUUAUAUAACGUCCCUCUUUGUCUUUUUUAACUACUAUUGCUUUAAAGUUUGUUUUGUCUGAUAUAAUAAUAGCUACUCCUGCUAGUUUUUGUUGUCCAUUUUCAUAAAAUAUCUUUUUCCACCCCUUUGCCUUAAGUUUAUGUGAGUAGUUAUGUGUUAGGGGAGUCUCUCUUGAAGGCAGCAGGUACUUGGUUGGUGAAUUCUUAUCCAUUCUGUCAUUCUGUAUCUUUUAAGUGAAGCAUUUAGGCCAUUUAUAUUCAUUUAGUAUUGAGAUGUGAGGUACUAUUCUAUUCAUCCUGUUAUUUGUUGCUUGCAUACCCUUGGUUGUUUUGGGUUUUUGUUGUUGUUGUUGUUGUUAUUGUUUGUGCGUGUGUGUUGUUGUAUUAUAGGCCCUGUAAGAUUUAUGUUUUCAAAUGUCCUGUUUUGAUGUAUUUUGAGGAUUUGUUCCAAGACUUAGAGGUCCUUUUAGCAGUUCUUGUAGUGCUGGCUUGGUAGUGGCACAGUCCCUCAACAUUUGUUUGUCUGACAAAGACUAUCUUUCAUACAAAAAACUGUAUCCUCCAUUUAUGAUACUUAGUAUCACUGGAUACAAAAUUCUUGACUGAUAUUUGUUUUGUUUAAAGAGGCUGAAGAUAGGGCACCAAUCCCUUCUAGUCUGUAGGUUUUCUCCUGAGAAAUCUGCUGUUAAUCUGAUGGGUUUUCCUUUAUAGGACACCCUAUUCAACAAAUGGUGCUGGGAUAAUUGGCAAGCUACAUGUAGAAAAGUAAAAAUGAAUCCUUUUCGCUCACCUUAUAUAAAAAUCAAUUUGAGGUGGAUCAAGGACUUACAUCUAAAACCUGAAAUCAUAAAAAUUCUAGAAGAUAACAUUGAAGAAACCCUUCUAGAUAUUGGCUUAGGCAAAGACUCCAUGACCAAGAACCCCAAAGCAAAUAUAACAAAAGCAAUGAUAAAUAGGUGGGACUUCAUUACACUAAAAAGUUUCUUCACAGCAAAAGAAACAAUCAGCAGAGUAAAUGGACAACCUACAGAGUGGUAGGAAAUCUUCACAAUCUAUACAUCUGACAAAAAACUAAUAUACAGACUCUACAAGGACCUCAAACAAAUUAGCAAGAAAAACAAAUCCCUUCAAAAAGUGGGCUAAGGACGUGAAUGAACAAUUCUCAAAGAAAGAGUUGCAGUGAGCCAAGAUUGCGCCACUACACUCCAUCCCUGCUACAGAAUGAGACUCAGUCAAAAAAAAAAAAAAAAAAAAAAAAAAACCAGAAUUGAAAUGUGUGUUUAUUGGUUGCACAGUAGUGCUAGUGGCUUCGUGGUUUGGUCCUCGGAGCCGGAAGCCACCACUGGUACUGAGCUGGUAGGAAGCCCCUGUCCAUGAGCUCAUUGGAGCUUUAACCCAUUAUCACUCCUCCAACUCACUGACACACAAAAAAAAAUGGUUGAAGCAGAUGCCCAGGAAAGCUCUUCAUUGGUGGCCUUAAUACAGAAACAAACGAGAAAGCUCUUGGCACAGUAUUUGGCAAAUAUGGACAAAUAGUGAAAGUACUCUUGAUGAAAGACCAUGAAACCAACAAAUCAAGAGGAUUUGCUUUUGUCAACUUUGAAAGCCCAGCAGACACUAAAGAUGCAGCCAGAGACAUGAAUGGAAAGUCACCAGAUGGAAAAACCAUCAAGGUGGAACAAGUCACCAAACCAUCAUUCGAAAGUGGUAGACAUGAACUGCCUCCACCUCCAAGAAGUAGAGGCCUUCUAAGAGAUAUUAGAGGUGGAGGAGGAGGAAGUGGAGGAACCAGGGGACCACCCUCUCAAGGAGGACGCAUGGUUGAUGGUGGAUAUUCCAUUAAUUUUAACAUGAGUUCUUCCAGGGGACCGCUCCCAGUAAAGGGUCACCACCAAGAAGUGGGGUUCCUUCUCCUAAGAGAUCUGCACCUUUAGGACCAGUUCGCAGCAGCAGUGGAAUGGGAGGAAGAGCUCCUGUAUCAUGUGGAAGAGAUAGUUAUGGAGGUCCACCUCGAAGGUAACCACUGCCAUCUCAUAAAGGUAUUUAUUUGUCCCCAAGAGAUGAUGGAUAUUCUACUAAAGACAGCUUACCCAAGUUUUCUUGAUACAAGAGAUUAUACACUACUACCACAAGAUUAUACUUACUUACUCGGAUUAUGGUCAUUUCAGUUCACGUGAUGACUAUCCAUCCAGAGUCUACAGCGAUAGAGAUGGAUAUGGUCAUGAUCAUAACUAUUCAGAUCAUCCAAGUGGAAGUUCCUACAGAGAUUCGUAUGAGAGUUAAAGUAACUCACGCAGUGCUCCACCUACAUAAGAGCCCUGCCAUCUUAUCAUGGAAUCAGUCGCUAUCAUGAUUACAGCAGUUUACGUGACCUAAAUGGUGGAAGUCGAGACAGUUACUCAAGCAGCCGAAAUGAUCUCUCCUCAAGUAGUCAUGACCGCAUUGGCAGACAAGAAAGAGGGCUGCCCCCUUCUAUGGAAAGCCCUCCUCCAUGUGAUUCCUACAGCAGAGCAAGGAGAGGUGGUGGUCAUGGAGGAAGCUGAUCUGGUAAAGAGGGAGGUAGAAGCAGAUACUAGAAGCAAACAAAAGUUUGGACCAAAAUUACAGUUCAAAGAAACAAAUAAAAAGUGGAAACUAUUCUGUAGUAACUACCCAAGAACUACUAAAUGGAAAAACUGUGUUACCUUUUUUAAAUUCCCUAAGUUCCCCUCUGUAAUUUUUAUGUUUUUGUGAGGAAAAAAGUAAAACAUUUUUAAUUUUAUUUGACUUUAUGACAUUGCUUUUCAAUAAGCAAAUGUUAAAUGUGUUAAGACUUGCACUAGUGUUGUAACUUUCCAAGUAAAAGUGUCCCCAAAGGGCACUUCCUAUCUGAUUUUUCCCAGUAAAUGAGGCAAGCAAUUCUAAGGUCUUCCACAAAACAUCUAGCCAUCUAAAAUGGAAAGAUACAAACAAGCUAGUUAUUGGAGGGUGGUUGGGAUAUGCUACUCAAAACAUUUCAGGGUGUCUUCCAACUGAAAUCUCACUGUUUCACCAUGAAAACCCUGAGAUCAGAUGCCUAUGUAAGGAAAGUGCUAUUCACCCAGUAAACCCAAAAAAGCCAAUGGAUAAUGCUGGUCAUUUUGCCUUUCUGACAUUUCCUUGGGAAUCCACAAGAACCUCCCUUUUCCCCUCCCGCAAUAAGACACUUUAAGUAUGUGUUAAACAACUAUAGAACACUAAAUAAAAAGCUUGGCCAAAAGCAAACAUGAAGCUGCAAAGGUGCUUGCUCUUACUGUUUCAAGUUUUGGCAACUCUGUAGUGUCUGACUUUUAAAGGAACAGCUUGAUUGCAAAGGAGAAAACAGAUAGGCAAUGAAGUUAUUGCCAACUUCCUAAAGGCUUAUGACUUCUAAAAAGUGAAUCUAUCCGCAUUCCACAUUAGAUUUAAAGCAACAAAUGCCUGUGAAACAGCAAAGAUGGUUGAGGAUUAUGCUCAUUAUGGUCCUGGAGUGCUGAUUUAUUCACAGUAGAUAAAGCUGGCAGUAAGAAAAAUCAAAUGCUAAGAGUUGUUGAAGCAGAAGGCGGCUGAUUGUCAGUAAGUCACUACAGUUGCAUAAGCAAUGCUGUCAGAAUUGGUUUGGUGUAGGCAAUAGAUCUUGCCUUCAAGGAUCUCUGCGGAUCUGAGAAAGGCAUCAGUGUUAUUAACACUCAUAACUAGGGAGUGAGUGGUAGUUAUUUAAAACAAGUAAUUAAUCAAAUGGAAAAGGGGAAGUAAUUAAGGAAAUUGGUAAGUGGAGGUAGUCAAGAAGUUCUUGUGGUGCUUUACAUAGAUUUUACAGCUUUGGCUUUCAUUUUGCUUAGCUAAAGUCAUGGGGACAACUCUUUAAUUUAGAAAUUAAGUUGAAUUAUAAAAAUGAUGGAUAUAAGUGGUAGCUCUAUCUAGUGAAGUGUCUGACAGUAAAUGAAACACUUUUUUGUGGUGGCUUAUUCAGAAACAGAGUUUAGUUGUAGAAUAAAACUCAUGAGUGACAUAUGGAAAAUAACAAGCAUGCUAAGCACACUGGAAACAAUUAGGCCACUUGGCUUUCUUUGGCUGUAUUAUUUUAUAAGCCUAAUUUACCUCCUAGUCUUGGAAACAAGUUUUAGUUUAUUGCUUUGGAGACUGAGCCCGUAGUAUAAUGUUCUCAAAGGAAACAGACUUGAGUUGUUGGAUUAGAAGAAUUAAUUCAACUUCUAAGAUUUUUUUUUUAUCAUAAUUAUGGUACUGUCACAUUUUAACAUUUGCAACUUGGGAUAGUAAGUAAAACAUUUUUGACUCUCAUUUGACAGACUACUGCUAAUUUACAGACCAUAAGGGUAAUUCCCAAAUUUAUGUGGUUGCUGCACUUCCAUAUUUUUCUCACCCCAAUCCUUCCAUACUCUUAUGAUUACUUGGGUGAAAGCUUCUGUGAGGACCUUUUGGCUCUUGAGAUACCCGAGACAUUUAAGAUAUUUAGAUAUCCUAAAGAUAGUAGAGGAUAUAGAGAUUGUACCAAAUAUAAAUGUAUAUUAAGUUCAAAGCAAGAAGUAUGUUAAAAUGACCAGAUAACUGUUUGAUAGUUUACUGACGUAGCAGACAUGUGAAAAACAAUCAGAUCUUGAUUAUUCUGGGUUUAUACUGGUUGUAA